GAUGAACGCUAGCGAUAGGCUUAACACAUGCAAGUCGAGGGGCAGCAUGGUCUUAGCUUGCUAAGACUGAUGGCGACCGGCGCACGGGUGCGUAACGCGUAUGCAACUUGCCUCACAGAGGGGGAUAACCCGUCGAAAGACGGACUAAUACCGCGUACACUCUAUUUUGGGCAUCCAAGGUAGAGGAAAUGAAAUUCGCUGUGAGAUAGGCAUGCGUCCCAUUAGCUAGUUGGUGAGGUAACGGCUCACCAAGGCGACGAAGGGUAGGGGAACUGAGAGGUUGAACCCCCACACUGGUACUGAGACACGGACCAGACUCCUACGGGAGGCAGCAGUGAGGAAUAUUGGUCAAUGGGCGAGAGCCUGAACCAGCCAAGUCGCGUGAAGGAUGACUGUCUUAUGGAUUGUAAACUUCUUUUGUAGGGGAAUAAAGAGGGGCACGUGUGCCCCAGUGAAUGUACCCUACGAAUAAGCAUCGGCUAACUCCGUG
rnacentral:rRNA from 1 species